GAGUUUGAUCCUGGCUCAGGACGAACGCUGGCGGCGUGCCUAACACAUGCAAGUCGAACGAGGGUUUGGAAAGCUUGCUUUCCGAAACCUAGUGGCGGACGGGUGAGUAACGCGUGAGUAACCUGCCUUUCAGAGGGGAAUAACGUUCUGAAAAGAACGCUAAUACCGCAUAACGUACAGUUACCGCAUGGUAGCAGUACCAAAGGAGCAAUCCGCUGAAAGAUGGACUCGCGUCCGAUUAGCUAGUUGGUGGGGUAAAGGCCUACCAAGGCGACGAUCGGUAGCCGGACUGAGAGGUUGAACGGCCGCAUUGGGACUGAGACACGGCCCAGACUCCUACGGGAGGCAGCAGUGGGGGAUAUUGCACAAUGGGGGAAACCCCGAUGCAGCAACGCCGCGUGUGGGAAGAAGGUUUUCGGAUUGUAAACCACUGUUCUUGGUGAAGAUAAUGAUGGUAACCAAGGAGAAAGCUCCGGCUAACUACGUGCCAGCCGCCGCGGUAAUUC
rnacentral:rRNA from 1 species